UACGGGGGGGGCGAGCGUUGUUCGGAAUCACUGGGCGUAAAGGGCGCGUAGGCGGCCCGCACAAGUCUGCGGUGAAAACCUCCGGCUUAACCGGGGGCCGGCCGUGGAAACUGUCGGGCUGGAGGCUGGGAGAGGGCAGCGGAAUUCCCGGUGUAGCGGUGAAAUGCGUAGAGAACGGGAGGAACACCGGCGGCGAAGGCGGCUGCCUGGACCAGUCCUGACGCUGAGGCGCGAAAGCUAGGGGAGCAAACAGG
rnacentral:rRNA from 1 species